rnacentral:misc_RNA from 1 species
GAUGAAGAACGUAGCGAAAUGCGAUACGUAAUGUGAAUUGCAGAAUUCAGUGAAUCAUCGAAUCUUUGAACGCAUAUUGCGCUCUCUGGUAUUCCGGAGAGCAUGCUUGUUUGAGUAUCAGUAAACACCUCAACUUCCAUAUCUUUUUUGAAAUGGGAGUUGGACUUGAGUGAUCCCAACGCUUUUCCUCACCGAAAAGUGGCGGGUUACUUGAAAUGCAGGUGCAGCUGGACUUUUCUCUGAGCUAUAAGCAUAUCUAUUUAGUCUGCCUAAAAACAGAUUAUUACCUUUGCUGCAGCUAACAUAAAGGAGAUUAGUUCUUGUACUGACUGAUGCAGGAUUCACAAAGACAGGCUUCGGCCGACUUUGUAAACUCGAUCUCAAAUCAAGUAAGACUACCCGCUGAACUUAAGCAUAUCAAUAAGCGGAGGA